rnacentral:rRNA from 1 species
CUAUAGCUUGACACUGAACAUUGAGCCUUGAUGUGUAGGAUAGGUGGGAGGCUUUGAAGUGUGGACGCCAGUCUGCAUGGAGCCGACCUUGAAAUACCACCCUUUAAUGUUUGAUGUUCUAACGUUGGCCCCUAAUCGGGGUUGCGGACAGUGUCUGGUGGGUAGUUUGACUGGGGCGGUCUCCUCCUAAAGAGUAACGGAGGAGCACGAAGGUUGGCUAAUCCUGGUCGGACAUCAGGAGGUUAGUGCAAUGG